rnacentral:snoRNA from 10 species
AAGAAUACUUUCAGGGAUCAUUUCUAUAGUUCAUUACUAGAGAAGUUUCUCUAAACAUGUAGAGCAUCAAAACUGCACAACUACACGCAAACUG